UAACAAGAUACUAAUAGCCGAUCGACAUAAAACUCGCAACACGGUGGUCUCUUCUUCUCUUUUUACUCGUAGAAAAACUGAGGCUGUUAUCUUCCCGCGACUCAUAUCACUCUCUCUCUCUUUCUUCCUCUCUUACUGGAAACUUGUACAUUAAUGGCCUCCAUUUCAACUCUUGGAAUUCCAUUCCAAUCCCCUGGAAGAGCUUCAACAUCCACAAGAUGUUGCAGACCGAUUGCAACUCUAACUUCUCACCAUCCAGAUGUUUGUAUUAAAAAAUGUGCCGGGGUCAUCGAGAGAAGACAAGUUAUAAUGUUAUCUGUUGGGUUACUGGCCGGAGCAGCUCUGCAGCAUUCUUCUUCAAAUAAAGAUGCUGCAGCUAUGGCAGCCGAAUUCACUGACAUGCCAGCUCUCAGGGGGAAGGAUUAUGGCAAAACAAAAAUGCGGUAUCCGGACUACACAGAAACAGAAUCAGGUCUUCAGUAUAAGGACUUGCGAGCAGGAAAUGGUCCCUUGCCUAAGAUGGGAGAGACGGUUGUGGUCGAUUGGGAUGGUUACACCAUAGGAUACUAUGGUCGCAUAUUUGAAGCUCGAAACAAGACAAAAGGUGGCUCCUUUGAGGGAGAUGACAAGGACUUCUUCAAAUUCAGACUAGGAUCCAGAGAGGUUAUACCUGCUUUUGAAGAAGCUGUUUCAGGAAUGGCCCCGGGUGGCAUUAGAAGGAUCAUUGUGCCCCCAGAACUAGGAUAUCCUGAGAAUGACUACAACAAGAGUGGGCCAAGACCAACAACAUUUUCGGGUCAACGAGCCUUGGAUUUUGUGUUGAGGAACCAAGGGCUGAUAGACAAAACUUUGCUGUUCGAUAUUGAACUCCUUAAAGUAAUCCCAGGCUAACUCCGAGCUGAUUCCCCUGUCAGGGUGUACGUAUUCCACUAUUGCCGUCAAACAUUCAGGACAUCAAAUAAUUGCAUAAUCACCCAUGUAUCACAGUCCUCCCAUUCUGGUGAUUUACACAUGUCAAGACCACAAGACUGAAUUAUUGAAUGCUUUACUACUCGACUGUUGGAACAUUUGAUUGUCAAAUGUUGACACGUUCUUAAUGUUGUAAUUGAGACUUGAGAGCGUAAUUUCCGCGCGCUUUGUGUUGUGGAAGACGAUACGGUAGGGCCUUCUGCCAAACUGGCUAAGCAAAGACUAAUUAUUGGUGUCA